rnacentral:piRNA from 1 species
UCAGGCAGCAAUGUGAAGCCAUCUGA